rnacentral:lncRNA from 1 species
CGACCCCCCCCCAAUCAGCGCGGGGUGGGGGGGCGGGACGCACCUGGGCGGGGCGGGGCCACACCUGGGGCGCGGGGUCAGUGCGGCGGCGGCGGCGAUGGCGAUGGCGAUGGCGGGCGGGGUGCGGCGGGGCGGCGGCGGAGCGCGGCCUCUCGUGCUGCUGUGCGCGGCGGCCGUGUCCCUGGUGGGCGCCCAGGUCACCUCGGAGACGAAGGAAGUGCCUGAGAACCAAC